UACGGGGGGGGCAAGCGUUGUUCGGAAUUACUGGGCGUAAAGGGCUCGUAGGCGGCCAACUAAGUCAGACGUGAAAUCCCUCGGCUUAACCGGGGAACUGCGUCCGAUACUGGAGGCUUGAGUGCCGGAGAGGGUCGCGGAAUUCCCGGUGUAGAGGUGAAAUGCGCAGAUAUCAGGAGGAACACCGAUGGCGAAGGCAGGUCUCUGGGCCACUACUGACGCUGAGAAGCGAAAGCAUGGGGAGCGAACAGG
rnacentral:rRNA from 1 species